UCCAUGAAAUGAGAAUCUGAGAUAAAAAGUGCUUCCAUUGCGAAGAACAACAAGGGCAAAUCUAACCAAAAGUGGCCAAGAAAUCGUUUCAUUUGUCAUUUUUGUCUGGAUUGGCAGUAUGAUUGUUGCUCGUCUACAU